AAAAUAUGGGUUUCUUUUCCUCCACAGAUGAUGACCAAGUGUCAAACUGCUAUGUGGCAGCAGAUCUUCUGACCGCAUCUCCAGUCACUUCCCAAACACAGGUCUUACUGUAACUGCAGUGAUUCAAAGUGGAAUGAAACUUAAAAUGCAAGCACUACAAUGCCAUACAGCUGGACUUGCUCCCUGGUCAACUGACACCACCAGAAGACAAACUCUGCCUUGUUGAUGCUGUAUAUUUCAUUAACAACCAUCACCCACUGCUCCUGAAGGAGGAGAGAAGCAUGAGCAUCAUCUUGUCCUUUUGAUGACUCCUUGAGCACAACUUUUGAGGAGUGGAGCACAGUUCUGCAGGUGUGGGCAGGAGUGGUACCUCUCACUGGCUGCUGCUCUUCGUAUAAGUAGAUGAAUAUGACGCAAUGUAAGCAUGAUUUUGACAAACUGCUUCUUAUAAGUAACUACAAUAUCCAGAAUAACAGACCAGAUUCUGCAGGCUUUUUGCAUGGCCUUUGAAUGGAAGAAAUGUAGCAAUAACUGAAAUCAGUAC